rnacentral:rRNA from 1 species
UACGAGGGGGGCGAGCGUUGUCCGGAUUUAUUGGGCGUAAAGAGCGUGUAGGCGGCCAUACAGGUCAGCUGUGAAAACUCGAGGCUCAACCUCGAGACGUCGGUUGAAACCGUAUGGCUAGAGUCCGGAAGAGGAGAGUGGAAUUCCCGGUGUAGCGGUGAAAUGCGCAGAUAUCGGGAAGAACACCCGUGGCGAAGGCGGCUCUCUGGGACGGUACUGACGCUGAGACGCGAAAGCGUGGGGAGCGAACAGG